GCGCCACCGACUCCUCAGCGUCUUUGCCUUUGUUGCAUUCGUCGCAAUUUUCGUGUAGAAAAAAUGCGACUAUAAUUUUGUACGUUAUGGAUACGUUUUAUUACUAUUCUAUUUUUCUUGAAUGACAAAUAAUUUGAUUAUUGAUUAUUAUCUUUAA